rnacentral:rRNA from 1 species
GUGCGUACCUGCCUCCUCGUGGGGAAUACCGGCUGGAAACAGCCGACAAGACCGCGUACGCUCACUUAGGUGAGGAAAGCACUUCGGUGCGCGGGGAGAGGGGCGCGCGGCCCAUCAGGUGGUUGGCGGGGUAACGGCCCACCAAGCCGGUGACGGGUCGCUGGUCUGAGAGGAUGACCAGCCAGACUGGAACUGCGACACGGUCCAGACACCUACGGGUGGCAGCAGCAAGGAAUCUUCCGCAAUGGGCGCAAGCCCGACGGAGCAACGCCGCGUGGAGGACGACGGCCUUCGGGUUGUAAACUCCUUUU